AACGUAGGUUCCGAGCGUUAUCCGGAUUUACUGGGCGUAAAGCGCGUUCAGGCGGUUUGGCAAGUCGGGCAUGAAAUCUCUGGGCUCAACCCGGAGAGGUUGUCCGAUACUGCUAAACUGGAGGGCAGUAGAGGGUGGUGGAAUUCCGGGUGUAGUGGUGAAAUGCGUAGAGAUCCGGAGGAACACCAGUGGCGAAAGCGGCCACCUGGACUGCACCUGACGCUGAAACGCGAAAGCUAGGGGAGCGAACGGG
rnacentral:rRNA from 1 species